ACCACCCUUUUCUAUCUUCUUUCUCCCGUAACAUUUUGCCACUCUCUCUCUCUCUCAGUUGAAAGAUCCGCCCACUCUCUCUCGCUCUCUGCGCCCUCCUGCCGCCGCCACCGGACGGCAGCGCCGUCCCCGGAGGCCGGCGGCUCCGCCUCCUCUCUCAUUCCCUCACCUCAAGUCUCCCUCUCACUCUUCCUCCACCGCACCCAACAGCAGCCGGAGCCUCUCUUCCUUCUUCUUCAAAAUCGGCGCUCGAUCGGCCCUCCUUCUCCGGCCGCCUUCUCCGGUCAUUGGCUGACCCGUAAAUCCCUGACCGCAGUCACCGCCGCCGUUGAAGGCCCGAUGAGACGGACGGUCGUGAUUUCGUCUCUUCUCAUUUCUCAACAGGUUCACCUCUCUUCUCUGCUCAAGUCAGAAGAGCUCUAGCUCUCUGUUGAUUCAGGCGGAAUCGUUGCGCCGCUGAGCUUCGUCUGCCACUGUUCUGUGAACCGACGGGAUUCGCCGCCGUCUGGAGCCAUCGCCGCCGACUGCUGUUGCUCGUCCGGUGGUCAGCUUUAUCUUCCUCAGUUGUUCAGCCGCCAUCGUCUCUGAUCGGCUUCGGUUGCCGACACGGCUCCAUCAAUGUCAUUGAUGCUGUCCUAAUUCCAGAAAGGAAGAGGUCGACGCUGCCGGGCAGCCGCUGUUCGGGCUCGGUACAGGUCGAUACAGUCAGCCUCCCCCCCCUUAAAAG